CUAUAAAGAAAAAAAUGUGUAUUAAAAGCUUUAAAGAGGAAGUGCAGGAGAUAUCAGCAGUAGCAUUUUUUGGUGAUGGUGACAUAGGAUACAUGUUCUGCAUCAGGGACUUGAGCAAAACAUGUAUAUCAAUGGAGAUAGAGGUGUCUCCAUUGACUAGAAACAUGAUACAUAGAAAAAAUAAAGAUUCCGUAUCCAGAUUUGUUGGAACGAUCAUAUUCAAUAUACUUUGAAAAUCUUGGUGAUUAGGUUCAGCUGUAAGCAUGCAUUACUGAAUAGUCAACAGAGUAAUGUUAG
rnacentral:lncRNA from 1 species